AGAGAGAGACAUGCGCGCAUAUCAAUAAGCGGAGGAAAAGAAACUAACUAGGAUUCCCUUAGUAACGGCGAGUGAAGCGGGAAGAGCUCAAAUUUGAAAUCUUCAAGGUUUUACCUUGACGAAUUGUAGUUUAAAGAAGUGUUUUCUGCUGAAGUUUUGGUAAAAGUUCUUUGGAAUAGGACAUCAUAGAGGGUGAGAAUCCCGUAUUUGACCAUUAUUUUCAGCUUUGUGAUACACUUUCAAAGAGUCGGAUUGUUUGGGAAUGCAGUCCAAAAUGGGUGGUAAAUUUCAUCUAAAGCUAAAUAUUGGCGAGAGACCGAUAGCGAACAAGUACCGUGAGGGAAAGAUGAAAAGAACUUUGAAAAGAGAGUUAAACAGUACGUGAAAUUGUCAAAAGGGAAGCGUUUGACACCAGUGUUGUUUUCUCGAAAAUCAAUUAAAAAUGGCUCGAUUUUGUAUUGUUGAGACCUUAAAAAGCUCACUGUACAUUUUUCGUGUCUUUUUUAAUGCACUUUUCGUUUAACAAGUCAACAUCAGUUUCUUUUGUUGUAAAAGGGUCAUUGGAAGGUGGCUUUCUUUUCGGAGAAAGUGUUUAUAGCCUUUGGCCUCUGCAAUCGGAAGAGACUGAGGUCUGCAGCGUAGACUCUUCGGGGUUAGAUACAUUUGUGCUAAGUUAUAGCUUUUUAUAGACAACUUGUUGACUAUAAUUAGUCUUGUAGCUUACUCGCUUAUGCUAUUUUACCUACGCUUAGGAUGUUGAGUCGUAGAGCACGCAGC
rnacentral:rRNA from 1 species